CACUCAUCCCGAGGGGCAGAGGGACACGGCCCGACGAAGCCCCAGCAACCAGCCGAUCACCGGCCAGGUGCUAAUUCCGUCCGCGGUCGAACGUCGACCCGGAGAGAUGAAUG
rnacentral:ncRNA from 1 species